GAUGAACGCUGGCGGCGUGCCUAAUACAUGCAAGUCGAGCGAACGGACGAGAAGCUUGCUUCUCUGAUGUUAGCGGCGGACGGGUGAGUAACACGUGGAUAACCUACCUAUAAGACUGGGAUAACUUCGGGAAACCGGAGCUAAUACCGGAUAAUAUUUUGAACCGCAUGGUUCAAAAGUGAAAGACGGUCUUGCUGUCACUUAUCGAUGGAUCCGCGCUGCAUUAGCUAGUUGGUAAGGUAACGGCUUACCAAGGCAACGAUGCAUAGCCGACCUGAGAGGGUGAUCGGCCACACUGGAACUGGGACACGGUCCAGACUACUACGAGAGGCAGCAGUAGGGAAUCUUCCGCAAAGGGCGAAAGCCUGACGGAGCAACGCCGCGUGAGUGAUGAAGGUCUUCGGAUCGUAAAACUCUGUUAUUAGGGAAGAACAUAUGUGUAAGUAACUGUGCACAUCUUGACGGUACCUAAUCAGAAAGCCACGGCUAACUACGUG
rnacentral:rRNA from 1 species